rnacentral:rRNA from 1 species
UAAGGAAUAUUGGUCAAUGGAGGCAACUCUGAACCAGCCAUGCCGCGUGCAGGAAGACAGCCCUCUGGGUCGUAAACUGCUUUUAUUCGGGAAUAAACCUCAUUACGUGUAAUGAGCUGAAUGUACCGAAGGAAUAAGGAUCGGCUAACUCCGUGCCAGCAGCCGCGGUAAUACGGAGGAUCCAAGCGUUAUCCGGAUUUAUUGGGUUUAAAGGGUGCGUAGGCGGCUUAUUAAGUCAGGGGUGAAAGACGGUGGCUCAACCAUCGCAGUGCCCUUGAUACUGAUGAGCUUGAAUGAACUAGAGGUAGGCGGAAUGUGACAAGUAGCGGUGAAAUGCAUAGAUAUGUCACAGAACACCGAUUGCGAAGGCAGCUUACUAUGGUUUUAUUGACGCUGAGGCACGAAAGCGUGGGGAUCAAACA